rnacentral:rRNA from 1 species
UGGGGAAUAUUGGACAAUGGGCGCAAGCCUGAUCCAGCCAUGCCGCGUGAGUGAUGAAGGCCCUAGGGUUGUAAAGCUCUUUCACCGGUGAAGAUAAUGACGGUAACCGGAGAAGAAGCCCCGGCUAACUUCGUGCCAGCAGCCGCGGUAAUACGAAGGGGGCUAGCGUUGUUCGGAUUUACUGGGCGUAAAGCGCACGUAGGCGGACUAUUAAGUCAGGGGUGAAAUCCCGGGGCUCAACCCCGGAACUGCCUUUGAUACUGGUAGUCUUGAGUUCGAGAGAGGUGAGUGGAAUUCCGAGUGUAGAGGUGAAAUUCGUAGAUAUUCGGAGGAACACCAGUGGCGAAGGCGGCUCGCUGGCUCGAUACUGACGCUGAGGUGCGAAAGCGUGGGGAGCAAUCAGG